UACGUAGGGGGCGAGCGUUGUCCGGAAUCAUUGGGCGUAAAGCGCGUGUAGGCGGUCCGGUAGGUCCGCUGUGAAAGUCGAGGGCUCAACCCUCGAAUGCCGGUGGAUACUGUCGGGCUAGAGUGCGGAAGAGGCGAGUGGAAUUCCUGGUGUAGCGGUGAAAUGCGUAGAUAUCGAGAGGAACACCAGUGGCGAAGGCGAGUCCCUGGACAUCUCCUGACACUGAGGCACGAAAGCUAGGGGAGCAAACAGG
rnacentral:rRNA from 1 species